AAUGGCUCAUUAAAUCAGUUAUCGUUUAUUUGAUAGUACCUUACUACAUGGAUAACCGUGGUAAUUCUAGAGCUAAUACAUGCUAAAAACCUCGACUUCGGAAGGGGUGUAUUUAUUAGAUAAAAAACCAAUGCCCUUCGGGGCUCCUUGGUGAAUCAUAAUAACUUAACGAAUCGCAUGGCCUUGCGCCGGCGAUGGUUCAUUCAAAUUUCUGCCCUAUC
rnacentral:rRNA from 12 species